UACAGCCAUAUCAUGUUGAAACACCAGUUCCCGUACAAUCACUGAAGUUAAGCAAUGUUGAGCCUGGUCAGUAUCAAGAUGGAUAACUGCUUGGGAAUAUCAGGUGCUGUAAG
rnacentral:rRNA from 1 species